UACGGGGGGGGCAAGCGUUGUUCGGAAUUACUGGGCGUAAAGGGCUCGUAGGCGGCCAACUAAGUCAUACGUGAAAUCCCUCGGCUUAACCGGGGAACUGCGUCUGAUACUGGAUGGCUUGAGUUCGGGAGAGGGAUGCGGAAUUCCAGGUGUAGCGGUGAAAUGCGUAGAUAUCUGGAGGAACACCGGUGGCGAAGGCGACAUCCUGGACCGGUAUUGACGCUGAGGCGCGAAAGCCAGGGGAGCAAACGGG
rnacentral:rRNA from 1 species